AGUGAACGCUGGCGGUAGGCCUAACACAUGCAAGUCGAACGGCAGCACAGUAAGAGCUUGCUCUUACGGGUGGCGAGUGGCGGACGGGUCAGGAAUACAUCGGAAUCUACUUUUUCGUGGGGGAUAACGUAGGGAAACUUACGCUAAUACCGCAUACGACCUACGGGUGAAAGCAGGGGAUCUUCGGACCUUGCGCGAUUGAAUGAGCCGAUGUCGGAUUAGCUAGUUGGCGGGGUAAAGGCCCACCAAGGCGACGAUCCGUAGCUGGUCUGAGAGGAUGAUCAGCCACACUGGAACUGAGACACGGUCCAGACUCCUACGGGAGGCAGCAGUGGGGAAUAUUGGACAAUGGGCGCAAUCCUGAUCCAGCCAUACCGCGUGGGUGAAGAAGGCCUUCGGGUUGUAAAGCCCUUUUGUUGGGAAAGAAAAGCAGCAGGUUAAUACCCCGCUGUUCUGACGGUACCCAAAGAAUAGGCACCGGCUAACUUCGUG
rnacentral:rRNA from 1 species